rnacentral:rRNA from 1 species
CCUACGGGAGGCAGCAGUGGGGAAUAUUGCACAAUGGGGGAAACCCUGAUGCAGCGACGCCGCGUGAGUGAAGAAGUAUUUCGGUACGUAAAGCUCUAUCAGCAGGGAAGAAAUAAAGUCCUUUGGACUUUGGACGGUACCUGACUAAGAAGCCCCGGCUAACUACGUGCCAGCAGCCGCGGUAAUACGUAGGGGGCAAGCGUUAUCCGGAUUUACUGGGUGUAAAGGGAGCGUAGACGGCAGCGCAAGUCUGGAGUGAAAUGCCGGGGCCCAACCCCGGAACUGCUUUGGUAACUGUGCAGCUG